rnacentral:rRNA from 1 species
AGUGAACGCUGGCGGUAGGCCUAACACAUGCAAGUCGAACGGCAGCACAGGAGAGCUUGCUCUCUGGGUGGCGAGUGGCGGACGGGUGAGGAAUACAUCGGAAUCUACUCUGUCGUGGGGGAUAACGUAGGGAAACUUACGCUAAUACCGCAUACGACCUACGGGUGAAAGCAGGGGACCUUCGGGCCUUGCGCGAUUGAAUGAGCCGAUGUCGGAUUAGCUAGUUGGCGGGGUAAAGGCCCACCAAGGCGACGAUCCGUAGCUGGUCUGGGAGGAUGAUCAGCCAAACUGGAACUGAGACACGGUCCAGACGCCUACGGGAGGCAGCAGUGGGGAAUAUUGGACAAUGGGCGCAAGCCUGAUCCAGCCAUACCGCGUGGGUGAAGAAGGCCUUCGGGUUGUAAAGCCCUUUUGUUGGGAAAGAAAUCCAGCUGGCUAAUACCCGGUUGGGAUGACGGUACCCAAAGAAUAAGCACCGGCUAACUUCGUGCCAGCCGCCGCCGUAA